rnacentral:rRNA from 1 species
AAGAGUUUGAUCCUGGCUCAGGUUGAACGCUGGCGGCGUGCUUAACACAUGCAAGUCGAACGAGAAAGGGACUUCGGUCCUGAGUAGAGUGGCGCACGGGUGAGUGAGUAACGCGUAAGUAAUCUACCCCUGUAUCUGGAAUAACCCACCGAAAGGUGAGCUAAUACCGGAUACGUUCAGGCUGGUGCGAAUCAGUGUGAAGAAAGAUGGCCUCUUCUUGAAAGCUACUGUACAGGGACGAGCUUGCGUACCAUUAGCUAGUUGGUAGGGUAAUGGCCUACCAAGGCAACGAUGGUUAGCGGGUCUGAGAGGAUGAUCCGCCACACUGGAACUGAAACACGGACCAGACUCCUACGGGAGGCAGCAGUGGGGAAUUUUGGACAAUGGGCGCAAGCCUGAUCCAGCGACGCCGCGUGAGUGAUGAAGGCCUUUGGGUCGUAAAGCUCUGUCAGCAGGGAAGAACGGCCGUGUGGACAAGGACAGAGGGAGUGACGGUACCCACAAAGGAAGCACCGGCUAACUCCGUGCCAGCAGCCGCGGUAAUACGGAGGGUGCAAGCGUUGUUCGGAAUUAUUGGGCGUAAAGCGCGUGUAGGCGGUUUGUUAAGUCUGGUGUGAAAGCCCUGGGCUCAACCUGGGAAGUGCAUUGGAUACUGGCAAACUUGAGUACGGGAGAGGAUAGUGGAAUUUCGAGUGUAGGGGUGAAAUCCGUAGAUAUUCGAAGGAACACCGGUGGCGAAGGCGGCUAUCUGGACCGAUACUGACGCUGAGACGCGAAAGCGUGGGGAGCAAACAGGAUUAGAUACCCUGGUAGUCCACGCUGUAAACGAUGAAUACUAGGUGUGGGGGCAAUUGACCCCUGCUGUGCCGCAGUAAACGCAUUAAGUACUCCGCCUGGGGAGUACGGCCGCAAGGUUGAAACUCAAAGGAAUUGACGGGGGCCCGCACAAGCGGCGGAGCAUGUGGUUUAAUUCGACGCAACGCGAAGAACCUUACCUAAUCUUGACAUAGUUCGCACAGUCCUGGAGAGGCGAGAGUGCCUCGCAAGAGGAGCCUGGUGACAGGUGGUGCAUGGUUGUCGUCAGCUCGUGUCGUGAGAUGUUGGGUUAAGUCCCGCAACGAGCGCAACCCUUGUCUUUAGUUGCCAGCAUUCAGUUGGGCACUCUAAAGAGACUGCCGGUGUCAAACCGGAGGAAGGCGGGGAUGACGUCAAGUCCUCAUGGCCUUUAUGACCAGGGCUACGCACGUACUACAAUGGUAUGGACAAACGGUUGCGAAACCGCGAGGUGGAGCCAAUCCCAAAAAGCCGGUCUCAGUUCGGAUUGGAGUCUGCAACUCGACUCCAUGAAGUUGGAAUCGCUAGUAAUCGCGGAUCAGCAUGCCACGGUGAA